rnacentral:lncRNA from 1 species
UCCUAUGCAUUUCAAAAACAACACAUGCAUGUCAACAUGUGAAGCAUGUAAAGCUGGGUUUGGAGCAGCUGGACUCAACAUUGCCGGCUUCACUGCUGGCCACCUCCCAUCAUUGAAUGUAUUUGAUUCUCAAGGUGGCUGUUACAAAAUUUGAAACUGACAAGAAAAACUUGGUAGUAACUAGUAAAUAAAUAUUUUGUUGUAAUAAUCUUAUAUCACCUUCCAGAUCCC